rnacentral:misc_RNA from 1 species
UUUCUUGUGUACAGUUGUUAAAUGAUUGUCAUGCAACCACCAGCAGCCAUUAUUUAAAUGUUUACCAUUUAUAGUUCUGGUGGAAUUUCAAAGAAUUCCUUAUACCAAAAUGUUGGGUAUCGUCCCCCUCCCCCACCGCCUCAGGGUGGGGAUGAGGAUAAACCACCUGCCUUACCUCCCAGGAAUUACAGGAGGUUCUCGGCGAGCCAGUCGGAUUCCUCCCUACCUCACAGGCCUUUAAUUUCACAACCACUGAACAAGGAGAGGCCUUCUCUUGGUUACGACGGACAUUCCAGUGAGUCGAGAGGAAGGUGGGAUGACGACAAUUAUGCGGAACAGCUUCGUAAACAGUCCAGACGUCUUUCAGAACAGCAACAUAUGCCCCAGCCAAUGACUUACAAAACCACGAAGACAUCCAUUCAGUUUACACAGUCUUACAAACAGCAGCAUGUGGAGGCCUUAGAGGCCACUUCACCUAAUGGCUCCACCUCUUCGUCGGAACAAUUCUUCUCCUCUCGUCGAUUGUCUGCCGGUCAGCAACCUCCAUCACCAAACAGUGCCCCCAGUGUUCCUCCACUGCCUUCAUCAAAAUACAUGCCAUCUCCAUCCAGUCCUCAGAUCUCGCCCAAAGGAGAGAGUCUGUCCCGACCCCAGCAUUAUCCGGAUCCAAAGUCGUACCAUUCUCCAGAGUCUAAAGCGGAUAAGCCUCGUGUGGAUAUACCACCUGUUACUCAGGGAUGGCAUAGUCGGCCCUCGCCAAGCAGCCCAGAUCCCCCUCCCCCACCCACCCCUCAGAAAGAACUGACUGCUGAUGUAGAUCUGCCUCCGCCCCCACCUGAACUGAUGGAAAACUCCCCGGAACACAAAGAUGAUAGAAACAGAUAUGCAGAGGAUUCUUACGGAUCAUACAAAAAUCGCACGGAUCGCCAACCGGGAGUCUACAAGCGAUCAGCCUCUUCGGGGGAUGCCCUAAAACUUCUACAUGAAAACAACAACUAUAAACAACAGGGGGACAUACAGAAGCCUCUCAGAAAGAGGCUACAGGCUGGAUGGAAGAGUGAGACGACAGUGAAUCAGGAGGACCAGAUACAGGAACAGCCGGAGACUAAAGAUCCUGUCCGCUCGGAUCGACCCCCACCACCCCGGCCUUUACUCUCCACACAGAGUGCUAGUCACCUUUUGGCACCCAAGCCCUACACAGCACCAGAGUCCAGCAGGAGUAACAGUUUUUCUGUGUCUUCCACGGACCAGGACUCCGUUAUAACAGCUACACUAGCUGAGAGACGGUCAGUGCAGGACAGAAUCACUUCAAUUGAAAGGAAGCAAAGCCUCUCCCAGGAGAGACCUGAAGUCAGGCAAACAACUCCACAAGGUGGCCAGUAUUUCAGUAAGAAAUCGUACGAAAACUUUUCCAAGUCCUUCUCGGCAACUCCUCCAAGGAGGACGUAUGAAACGGACAAAUUCAGUGCAAGUGUAAGUGAAACUUCUUUGGGACAAAGACAGAAUUUAAAAUUUCAAGAUCCUACUACCACUCCAAACAGGAGAACCUACUCUCCGGAGCAGAUAGCUUCCAAUGACAGAAGCAAUGAAAGCCCACCCCCAGUGGACAGAAGUCCUGGGAGUGGUUACCCAGGGGGCCGUAAUAUCAGAAACAGUGAAUCUAAUGGGCAGAGUGCAUUUGACUCCAAUUCCAAAAUGUCUUUCAGUGAUUCGAAAAGGCAAUCUCCAAGCAAGCCUAUCUCCACAAACUCUUCUAGUCCUUCAGAAAAGAACACUGUCAGUGACUUGGUACAGCACAGCCGGCAGCGAUCCCAGGAAGAACUGGAGUGCGAUGCCAAAGUUCAGGAAUUUGCCAAAAUUUAUGAGAAAAAGGACCCGAAACUGUCCAGUAUGUUAAAGAGUGAUGGCGGGAGAAUGCAAUACAUGGAUGGCUUGUUCCAUACCGAGAUUGAUCAAGACAUACUAGUGAGGCGUUCUCCGAAAACUUCCCCCAAAUCAUCCAGUGUCGGCAAUGAUCAAGAGGCCCUCCAAUCUGUCACUCCAAAGAAGGAAGGAGUACCAGAGGAAGCGUAAGUACAAACAUUUGUGUGGAACAUCAUUGAUGAAUGAGCCUUGUAUGUUUAAAAUUUUGGCAUAGGGAAAUAAGUAAUGUCCUAGUUUCCAGAUAUUUAUAUUAUCUAAAAUUACAACCAAAAGAACCCUAUACUCUCUAAAUCACUUGGAUAGAAUCAAAUUGAUUUGUCAGCUGAGUUGUAAAGUUUUAUUAUUUAUUGACAGUAUAGGUAAUUAUUUAUAUUCUGUCAACAGUCAAACAAAAGUCUCUUGGGAAUAUAGUUUCCUGGUCACGCUUGGCGCUGAUUAAUUGUGUGACGUUGGUCUUGAAAAUAAACAUACUAAUCUGGGAUGAUGUCCACUGAAUGGAUUUUUAUAUUAUUAGCUCUUCGUGAAAUCCCUGAUGACUUUGAAGUGUAGGAUAUUAUGUUGUAAUAACAUUGUAAAAACCAGGAUAAUUGGUCCGCUCAGUUUGUUGGCAGAGAUAAUCCUUCUUGUACAAGCAUCGAGGUUUAAAUAGUCGCCUUAUUUGUGGUCAGAAUCAGGUCCUUGUUAUGGUCAAGUAGAAACAGUCAUGGACGCAGCUCAGUCUAGGUACCAAAGAUGUGAACUAGGUCAUUACUAAGGUGAUGAUAAGCAGGUAUGAAUGAAUGACAUCAUCUCUCAUCUUUCUGAAUCAUGGUUUUUUCAGGGAGAAGUCACCUCUACCAUCGAACUACUGGGUGUCCCCUUCCAAGGCACUGAUAGAGAUGAACAUACGACAGAGCGAGGGAAUCGGCAAAGACAUGACCAAGGAUAUCGACGACUCAGACAAAUUAAUCAAAACGAAGGAAGAACUGGUUGAUAGUAUACAAAAGAAAAUGGACAAGUUGAAAGAAGAGAAGAAAGAGCUGACAAAAGAACUGGAGGAGACAGAGACACUGGGAAAAGAGGUACAAAAAGCAGUUGAAAGAAAGUGCAAGAAACAGCAUGAAAAGGACAAGUUUAAGACCUACAUUGGUGACAUGGAGAAGAUCAUACUUCUCUUACUGAAGGUCUCGGGCUUAUUGGCGCGAGCAGAGAAUGCCCUUCAGAGUCUACCAGAGGACAGUAAUGAACGACUCAAAAAAAUGGCUGCUGAUAAGCGAGAUAGAGCAAAGCAACAGCAUGAAGAUGCCAAGGUGUUGAAGGAAGACAUAGAAAAGCGUAGUGGGCAGAUCGAGGUGUUCUUGCAGGAAGCAUUGAGUGAGGAAGAGUUUGCUGAUUACAAAUAUUACGUGAAAAUGAAAUCGAAACUGACCAUUGAGAAACAGGAGCUUGAGGAUAAGAUAUCACUCGGAGAAGAACAGAUAUCUGCUCUCAAGCUGAGCAUUCCUGAGAAACACUGAUGGAGCAUUGGUUCCCCUUUGUGACAAAGUGCUAUACAAUGUGAUAUUAACUAGCAGUACUAACAGUAUUUACUGCCGAAUCAAAAUUGUGAUUUCGCUAAUGGCCGAUUCCAUACUUUCGAUACUACAACAAUGGGCGCAAUUGGAAUCUCCUAAAAGCAAUGCCAGCCAAUAAUGUGUACAAUGUCUAAAUACAAAAUUCAUAUAUCUACUUAUUUAUAUGAAUUGUGAUACCAAACCUAUGGGCAUGAUCUCGAAACGAGUUUUUCCGCGGUCAAGGAAAGACAUGCGUCAUUAAAUGGACGGCAGUUAUAGUAGAUCAACUGCAUGUUUGAUCAAAGGUAGUCAUUAGUGUCAUGAACUAUACAUGUAUACUGGCGGAAGCUUUCAUUGAUAUUGUAAACUUAACCUCUCCACACGGCCAUAAUAGGUACUGCAAAUGUUGUUAAGUUGGUGCUGUUGGGUGAAGCUCAAACUUUGUUGUACAAGUUGUACAGACAUUACACGGUGUAGUUAUCAGGAUUUGUGAUUUAUAGACAAGUCUAUUUACGUGAAACUGUUUAGAAGUUUUGAGAUAUGUCUGUACGUGAAUGAGAAAAUAAUCAUGUGACAUUUGAACUGUGUGUGCGAGUGUUGCAUGUCUGAGAGUAUGCUAUUUAUUUCAUUUUUUAGUGGAUCACACAUAUAAAUAUUUAAACCUGUUUUUUAACUCAUUCAUAGUACUCAAGUACAGCUUUCAUUAUAUGAGCUACACUGUAUAUUGGUAGAUAAUAACAAGCGAAAAAAUAACAUCCAAAACACAUAAUGAUCAUAUCAACUGAAAUCAUUCCAGGGGAGACUAGUAGGUCAUUCCAUAGCGUUAUAAAAAAAUUAAAAAUGAAUACGCAAACCACAGAAAACAAUAUUUUGAUACUACAUGUAGCAGUUUUUUAAUGCAUACUGAGUCGUGAGGGUUAAGUGUGUGCUGAUGACACAAUAUUUUGUUAUAUAAAUACAAGUAUUAUAUAUUUUAUGAUGAAUGCAAUUUACAUCAAUACAUGCCGUUGAAAUAUGUUUCCAUAGAAAUAAAAUGGUGUGUGAAAAG